rnacentral:rRNA from 1 species
AACGCGAAGAACCUUACCCACCUUUGACAUGGCAGGAACUUACCAGAGAUGGUUUGGUGCUCGAAAGAGAACCUGCACACAGGUGCUGCAUGGCUGUCGUCAGCUCGUGUCGUGAGAUGUUGGGUUAAGUCCCGCAACGAGCGCAACCCUUGCCAUUAGUUGCUACAUUCAGUUGAGCACUCUAAUGGGACUGCCGGUGACAAACCGGAGGAAGGUGGGGAUGACGUCAAGUCCUCAUGGCCCUUAUAGGUGGGGCUACACACGUCAUACAAUGGCUGGUACAAAGGGUUGCCAACCCGCGAGGGGGAGCUAAUCCCAUAAAGCCAGUCGUAGUCCGGAUCGCAGUCUGCAACUCGACUGCGUGAAGUCGGAAUCGCUAGUAAUCGUGGAUCAGAAUGUCACGGUGGGGUCUUGUACACACCG